rnacentral:rRNA from 1 species
AUCUACGGCCAUGCCACCCUGAACAAGCCCGAUCUCGGAAGCUAAGCAGGGUCCGGUCUGGUUAGUACUUGGAUGGGAGACCACCUAGGAAGACCAGGUGCUGUAGGCA